ACCCGCAAGUACGAGGCAGAGUGAAAGGACAACCUUUCAAUGUUCACAAACAUUGAGGCCGCUCGAGUAAUAUCAUCGGUGUUUAAAUUGUCGAUGGAGAUUCCAUUAUUUCAAUGGAGUUAGAUAUCCAAGCAUCCUGAAUGGAUGCCUCAAAUCAAUGCAUGGUUUGACACAUUUGAGGACAAAUUCUGCUGGGAUAGUGAGCAUAACACUAUU